rnacentral:rRNA from 1 species
UACGUAGGGGGCUAGCGUUGUCCGGAUUUAUUGGGCGUAAAGAGCGUGUAGGCGGCCAGAUAGGUCUGCUGUGAAAACUCGAGGCUCAACCUCGAGAUGUCGGCGGAAACCAUUUGGCUAGAGUCCGGAAGAGGAAAGUGGAAUUCCUGGUGUAGCGGUGAAAUGCGUAGAUAUCUGGAGGAACACCGGUGGCGAAGGCGGCAUCCUGGACCAACAUUGACGCUGAGGAGCGAAAGCUAGGGGAGCAAACGGG